UACGUAGGGGGCAAGCGUUGUCCGGAAUCAUUGGGCGUAAAGCGCGUGUAGGCGGCCCGAUAAGUCCGCUGUGAAAGUCCAGGGCUCAACCCUGGAAUGCCGGUGGAUACUGUCGGGCUCGAGUCCGGAAGAGGCGAGUGGAAUUCCUGGUGUAGCGGUGAAAUGCGCAGAUAUCAGGAGGAACACCAAUGGCGAAGGCAGCCUUCUGGGCCAACACUGACGCUCAUGCACGAAAGCGUGGGGAGCAAACAGG
rnacentral:rRNA from 1 species